AAACCGCCUUUUGCAUUGCAUGCUUCUCUUUUGCCUUUCGUUCUCUCGCUUUUCUCUCUACCCUCGCAAAUCCCCCACCCAACAAGUUUCAUGACUCAACAAAUCCAACUAUACGCGUAGAAGAAGAAGAACAGACAGAUCAGGGAUAUAUAGUAAUCACGUAUGUUGGAAAACCAUCCGCCUGAAUUACUGAUAAAAGGUCAAGGGCGACUCGUCUCCAAAUGGCCGUUGAAGCUCGGCGUCUCUGUCUUUUCACACCACAGAUUCUUGACAACAGGGGAAUGUUGAAUGUGAUUGAAGGUGUGAAUAAUAAUUUUAAUACUAUUAAUAACAACAUGAUGUAUGGCGAGCCCUUUGGUUCGACGACCACCACCACCGCGGCUGAUGCAUUGAUUCCUCCUGCUUCCAUCAACGGUAAGACUGUUGCGGCAGAUUGGACUCCGGUGAAAACGGCAAUGAAGUCGGACAGUGGCCUUACCUGCUCCAUCCCUAUCCUGGCGUCAAGGAAGCGCCCCAGAGAUCCCUCCUACGCCAGAAUCGCCAACUGCCACCGCAACUUGCUCCCGUUUCCUGCCAAUCUUAACAGUAGUGAACGCUGCACUUCCGUUGCGACUUUCUUGGGAGAAGACAUCUCCUUACGCACCCAGCAACACCAAUUGGAAAUCGAUCAAUUCAUCUCCCACCACGCGGCGAAGGUGAGAAAGGAAAUUGAGGAACAGAGAAAGGAUUAUUCAUUGAGGGUAAUAAGGGCGGUGGAGGAGAGCUUGAUGAAGAGACUGAGAGCGAAAGAGGAGGAAAUCGAGAAUAUUGGGAAAUUAAAUUGGGCAUUGGCGGAGAAAGUUAGGUCGUUGUGCGCAGAAAACCAGAUAUGGAGAGAAUUGGCGCAGAGCAAUGAGGCCACGGCAAAUGCAUUGAGAAACAUCCUGGAGCAGGUGGUGCUGGCUCAAGCCCAACAAGUCGAAGCUCAAUUGCAUUAUAAAGCGGAGGGUUUGAUGGAUGAUGAAGCGCAGUCAUGCUGCGGAAGCAAUUACUAUUUGGAUAUGGGAAAAGGAGGAGGAGAAGGGGCAGAGCAAGUGGAGCGUAAUCGUAGCAAUAACGAUGACAUUGGUAAGCGUGCAAUAAACGAGGAGGAGGAGGAGAGCGGCAGUGGCAGGAGGAGGAGGAGGAGGAGGUGGUGCAGGGUGUGCAGAAAUUGCGGCAAGGAGGAGGCGAGCGUGUUGCUGCUGCCGUGCAGGCACCUGUGCUUGUGUUAUGCUUGCGGGCCUGCCCUCGACUCAUGCCCCGUUUGUCUUUCCACCAAGAACGCCGCCCUUCACAUCAACUUGUCCUCCCAUUCCUCAUCCACCUAGUUUUUUUCAGUUUUUUUUUUCAGUCUUAAUUUGUCGACUGAUAGACAGAAGAGAUAGAAAGAAGAAGAGAGGGAUCUUGGAAGAAAUUUUAGAUAUGGAGGAGGAGGCGGACUAUUUUAAAUUUGACCGUGUGUGCGGCAUGGCAUGUGUUGCUCCGCUUUGUUAGCAAGCAAGGGUGCGAGAGGUAGUAGUAGUACUCAGUGCUGGUUUCGAAAGUGGCUCGUUCAGAAUAAAAGUCUGACACGUAAAUGCGCGAGCAAA